rnacentral:lncRNA from 1 species
GGGUGGAAGCAGAUUAAAAUAUAACUGGGCUAUGCUUAACAAAAGAAAAAUGCAUUUCAGCAUGAUCUCUCCCUCUCUAGGGCUCAUUUUGUUGCCAUUUAGUCAUUUUUCAGUCAUGUCUUUUUCUUUAUGACCCCAUUUGUAGUUUUCUUGGCGAAGAUACUGGAAUGGUUUGCCAUUUUCCUUCUCCAGAUCAUUUUACAGAUGAGGAAACUGAGACAAACAAGACUAUCCCUAAAGAAGAAGAAAGCAGCAAGAUGGCGCAGUGAAUGGAAUGACAGGCCUGGAGUCAGGAAGACGCAUCUUUGUGAGUUCAAUCUGGCCCCAAAUACUUACUAGCUGUGUGACCUUGGGCAAAUCAUUUAUCCCUGUUUAACUCAGUUCCUCAUCUGUAAAAUGAACUGGAAAAGAAAAUGUCCAACUACUCCUUUAUCUUUACCAAGAAAACCCUAAAUAGGGUCACAAAGAGUCAGAUAUGGCUGAGCAGCUAGGUGGUAUAAUAGAUAAAAUUCUAGGCUUAAAGUCAGAAAGAUCCAUCUUCCUAACUUCAUAUCUG